rnacentral:snRNA from 13 species
AGCUUUGUGCAGUGGCGGUAUGGUAGCCAAUGAGGUUUAUCCGAGGCGCGAUUAUUGCUAAUUGGAUGGUCCUUAAAGGGUGAGAGGGCCUUUGGUUGGCUCUGAGGGUUGAUGAGGGCCUUCCAGACAGAGGCACUGAAUGCCAGCAAAGGCCUGGGGGCU